CGGCGACGUCACAGUGGCGCCACAGUGCCUGGAGCUGGGCUGGUUUCUCCUCGGAGUGGAGCCUGGUAACCGCGACUUCCCCGCCAUGUUCUGUGUGUUGCUGGCUGGAGAAGGGUGGUUGACAAACUCCGACCCAGCACAGUGUUUCUGUGGGUCAAAACUAGAAAACUAUGUCCAGGCUCGGCCGAGGCGGAAGGAUCCCUUCAGGCCAGGAGUUAAAGAGCAGCCUGGGCAACAUGGCGCGACCCCAUCUCUGUAGUCCCACCUCAGCUUCCCAGAUACUUGAACCCUAAGGUUCAAGGCUGCAAUGAGCUAUGAUCCCAUCACAGCACUCCAUCCUGCGAGACGGAGGACCUGCGGAGCAGCCAGGCUUCAUGAGUUAAAUGCAGAUCUGAACCAUACCCAGUUGGGAUUGGGGUACACACUCUACUCCUCUGAAAACUAGCUAGGGGUUCGAACUUGGUGAGAGGGAGAGUGGGACAGAGCCAGACCAGACAAGGAUUGAUCACCUGGAAAAACCUGCCAUCAAAGACCUUGACGAGUGCUGGGGGCGGUGGCUCACGCCUGUAAUCCCAGCACUUUGGGAGGCUGAGAGAGGUGGAUCACUUGAGGCCAGGAGUUCGAGUCCCGCCUGGGCAACAUGGCAAAACCCUGUCUCUACUAAAAAUACAACAAUUAGCUA
rnacentral:sRNA from 1 species